rnacentral:lncRNA from 1 species
UGAAUUACUAUGAGCGUACAUUUUUAAUAGACUGUUGUGUUUCCAAGAAAGUAAAUAUCUCCGAGUCUCCCCCAAAAUUAAACAGCAAAAAUAAAUAAGGCCAGGUGGGGUGGCUCAUGCCUGUAAUCCCAACACUUUAGGAGGCUGAGGCGAGAGGAUUGCUUGUGCCUAGGAGUUCGAGACCAGCCUGGGCAACAUGAUGAGACCCCGUCUCUACAAAAAAAUUUAAAAUUAGCUGGGUGUGGUGGUGCACUCUAGUCACAGCUACUUGGGAGGCUGAGGUUAUAGGUGCCCACCACCACGCCCAGCUAAUUUUUUUUUUUUUUUUUUUUGAGACGGAGCCUCGCUCUUUCGCCCAAGCUAGAGUGCAGUGGCGUGAUCUUGGCUCACUGCAAGCUUUGCCUCCCAGGUUCACGCCAUUCUCCUGCCUCAGCCUCCCGAGUAGCUGGUACUACAGGUGCCCGCCACCAAGCCCAGCUAAUUUCUGUAUUUUUUAGUAGAGACGGGGUUUCACCGUGUUAGCCAGGAUGAUCUGGAUCUCCUGAGCUGGUGAUCCGCCCUCCUCGGCUUCCCAAAGUGCUGGGAUUACAGGCGUGAGCCACCGUGCCUGGCCUGGAUAUGUUAACAUAAUAAUUUAAGAUAAAAUGAAUGAGUUAAUCAGCAGAUUAGACGGAAGGGAGUAAUUUGAUGAGGGGGUAAAAGAAAAUGGUGAGGAUAUGGAGAAGGAAUUCGUGGUGAAACUGGACACAAUUGUUGAGGGAUUUCCAGAGCUGAUGAACGUUGUGGACCUGUGGCUUACACCAAACAGGGUGGGUGUGAGCUCGGCACAGCUAGGACGCGCUGGUGAGACCAAGGAACACCAAAGUCAGUGAGGAGAUCUUAGUGUCUCCCGGAGAGAGCCGACCGAGGCUGGCGCAUGUCUGAAUGCGAGCCUGGCCAUAGGCUGAGCCCGGCUGCCGCCACCCCUGGGCUUCUGGAACCCUGGGCUUGGCCGAGCGUGGGUGUCUCCCCUGGGAGCCCCAGAGCCCUGGACGAUGGAGGCCGGGACCUGGGCAGGCGCGGGAGGCCUUGGGCUGGGGCCUGCGCCCCUCCUCUGAGGGCUGCCUGCCGGGCUCUGCCCUGCCCUGCCCUUCCCUCCCCUCUCUUCCCCUCCCCUCUCCUCUCUUUCCCUCACCUCCCCUCUCUUUGCCUCCCCUCCCCUCCCCUCCCC